rnacentral:ncRNA from 1 species
UUCUUCGGGGCAGGGUGAAAUUCCCUACCGGCGGUAUAGUCCGCGACCCGCUUCGGCGGCUGACAUGGUGAAAUUCCAUGACCGACAGUAAAGUCUGGAUGAGAGAAGAA